rnacentral:rRNA from 1 species
CCCUUAGAUGUUCUGGGCUGCACACGUGCUACACUGGCAGGUUCAGCGAGCUUCAUGCCCUGAUCUGAAAGGAAUGGGAAAUCUUUUCAAAACCUGCCGUGCUUGGGAUAGAUGUUUGCAAUUAUUCAUCUUCAACGAGGAUUGCCUUGUAAGCGCGGGUCAUCAUCCCGCGCUGAAUACGUCCCUGCCCUUUGUACACACCGCCCGUCGCUCCUACCGAUUGAGUGGUCCGGUGAGGCUUUGGGAUCUGAGCGGAAAGAGCGUUUCGCUGUUUCUGCUCGGAAAACUCAGUCGAACCUUAUCAUUUAGAGGAAGGAGAAGUCGUAACA